ACUGCCUCUGGAAGAUAAGUUGAAUCCCCUAGGCCAGAUCUCUCAAGGAUCCUCUGCUGGAAAUUAAGAUUCUCCUCUGUAAAAGUUCCGGUCAUCCGAGAUUGAUCCAUGAAAAUCCUUUUUGUGCAUUUACGAGAUUCUGCAGGCUUGUAGCAGGAAAAGUUGACAAGGUAUACAGGCCGAGGACGAGUCAUAAAAUAGAGUGUA
rnacentral:misc_RNA from 1 species